GUAUAAAUAGCGAGAGAGACAGAGAGGACGACGGGAGUAUAAAUAGCGAGAGGGACAGAGAGGACGACGGGAGUAUAAAUAGCGAGAGGGACAGAGAGGACGACGGGAGUAUAAAUAGCGAGAGAGACAGAGAGGACGACGGGAGUAUAAAUAGCGAGAGAGACAGAGAGGACGACGGGAGUAUAAAUAGCGAGAGAGACAGAGAGGACGACGGGAGUAUAAAUAGCGAGAGGGACAGAGAGGACGACGGGAGUAUAAAUAGCGAGAGGGACAGAGAGGACGACGGGAGUAUAAA